rnacentral:siRNA from 1 species
CCGCGAUUCAGGCUGUACUGAGCU